rnacentral:rRNA from 1 species
GACAGAGGAUGCAAGCGUUAUCCGGAAUGAUUGGGCGUAAAGCGUCUGUAGGUGGCUUUUUAAGUCCGCCGUCAAAUCCCAGGGCUCAACCCUGGACAGGCGGUGGAAACUACCAAGCUGGAGUACGGUAGGGGCAGAGGGAAUUUCCGGUGGAGCGGUGAAAUGCGUAGAGAUCGGAAAGAACACCAAGCGGAAGACGACUCUGCUGGGCCGACACUGACACUGAGAGACGAAAGCUAGGGGAGCGAAUGGGAUUAGAACCUACCGAGUCAG